CCUACGGGUGGCUGCAGUGGGGAAUAUUGGACAAUGGGGGGAACCCUGAUCCAGCCAUGCCGCGUGUGUGAAGAAGGCCCUCGGGUUGUAAAGCACUUUCAGUGAGGAAGAACGCCUGGUGGUUAAUACCCAUCAGGAAAGACAUCACUCACAGAAGAAGCACCGGCUAACUCCGUGCCAGCAGCCGCGGUAAUACGGAGGGUGCGAGCGUUAAUCGGAAUUACUGGGCGUAAAGCGCGCGUAGGUGGCUUGAUAAGCCGGUUGUGAAAGCCCCGGGCUCAACCUGGGAUCGGCAUCCGGAACUGUCAAGCUAGAGUGCAGGAGAGGAAGGUAGAAUUCCCGGUGUAGCGGUGAAAUGCGUAGAGAUCGGGAGGAAUACCAGUGGCGAAGGCGGCCUUCUGGACUGACACUGACACUGAGGUGCGAAAGCGUGGGUAGCAAACAGGAUUAGAUACCCCAGUAGUC
rnacentral:rRNA from 1 species